UUUCCGGUUCUAUUGGACCGUGAGGGUCCAAAGCUCCGCAGCUCACUCGAUGAGAGAAACGUCCGUCAGAUCUACUGGGGGAGCGAAUUUGCCGAUACAAUCCAGAAUCUACUGUUCCAUCAACGAAUGUCAGACUUUCAGAUUCUGAAGAUGCAAAGGAGCUGCAAAUGAUUAUCUGGCUACGACGAUUUAUAGCUGAGACAAGUUUCUUUGUUGGAAUGCAGUUUUUUCGCCCUCCAGAUGUAAUUCUUCUCAUGAAUGGCAAACAUUUCCACUGUAGUCUCAUUUGUGCAAACACUUGUUCAUUGCUUUUUUUUAAUGAUGGGCUCAUGAACACUGAUAAGAGACAAUGCAAGAACAGUUCAUAGAUCCUUCAUUAUUACCUCUUUGUAGUUUCCCAUAGUAUUGUAUACUUUGUUUUCAGAGUAAUUUCUGCUGGACCACUCCUGAGAAGAAUAACAAUGAUACUAGAGUACAUUUUUUCAAUCUGUAUGCUAUCUCCCUGAUCAUGGUCUGACAGAGGCCAAUAACUUUGGCAAUGAUUUCAGUACCAUUUUCAUCCACAAGGGCAUUACCAACCCGUUUUCCAAAGUCUGUAGAGAUCUCUCUUGAUCAGAACAUAAUUCAUUUCCACAAACCUGGAUCAGGAAGAGCAGAUUCCAGUUGUGUGAACUCUCCUUUUUAUAGAAAACACCUUAGACUCAUAUCUGAUUGUUAACUUAUUUGUAGAAGCCUGAUAUAUAGACUGGAACAUCUAAUUCAACUUACCACUUAAGAAGGUGGUUAUCCUAAAACUAAAAUGUACUUUUCUAAGAAAAAAACAUAAAUAUUGAUUCAACGUGUUCAGUAAAGAUGUGGCACAGUG